rnacentral:rRNA from 1 species
UACGGGGGGGGGUAAGCGUUGUUCGGAAUUACUGGGCGUAAAGGGCUCGUAGGCGGCCAACUAAGUCGGACGUGAAAUCCCUCAGCUUAACUGGGGAACUGCGUCCGAUACUGGAUGGCUUGGAUUUGGGAGAGGGAUGCGGAAUUCCAGGUGUAGCGGUGAAAUGCGUAGAUAUCGAGAGGAACACCUGCGGCGAAGGCGGGUUGCUGGGCCGACACUGACGCUGAUGCGCGAAAGCCAGGGGAGCGAACGGG